GAAUAAUUAACUCAAUUGGUAGAGUAUUUCGUUUACACCGAAAACGUUAGCGGUUCGAGUCCGUUAUUAUUCA
rnacentral:tRNA from 1 species